rnacentral:rRNA from 2 species
AUAAAGAGGGGGAUAACUAUUGGAAACGAUAGCUAAUACCGCAUAAAGAAACCAAAGUAGGGGAUUUAACCUUACACUUUUUGAUGAGCCCAGACGAGAUUAGCUAGAUGGUAAGGUAAAAGCUUACCAUGGCGAUGAUCUCUAGUUGGUCUGAGAGGACGACCAGCCACACUGGAACUGAGACACGGUCCAGACUCCUACGGGAGGCAGCAGUGGGGAAUAUUGCACAAUGGGCGAAAGCCUGAUGCAGCUAUGCCGCGUGUAUGAAGAAGGCCUUAGGGUUGUAAAGUACUUUCGUUAGGGAAGAAAUAAAGUUAAUAAAUUUAUUUUUUGACGUUACCUAAAAAAGAAGCACCGGCUAACUCCGUGCCACAGCCGCGGUAAUACGGGGGGUGCAGCGUUAAUCAGAAUUACUGGGCGUAAAGAGCUCGUAGGCGGUUUUUUAGUCAGAUGUGAAAUCCCUGGGCUUAACCUAGGAAUGGCAUUUGAAACUAAAAAACUAGAGUUUUGUAGAGGGAGGUAGAAUUCUAGGUGUAGCGGUGAAAUGCGUAGAUAUCUGGAGGAAUACCUGUGGCGAAAGCGACCUCCUGGACAAAAACUGACGCUGAGGUGCGAAAGCGUGGGGAGCAAACAGGAUUAGAUACCCUGGUAGUCCAUGCUGUAAACGAUGUCGACUUAGAGGUUGUUUCCUUGGGAAGUGGCUUCUGAAGCUAACGCAUUAAGUCGACCGCCUGGGGAGUACGGCCGCAAGGGCUAAACUCAAAUGAAUUGACGGGGCCCGCACAAGCGGUGGAGCAUGUGGUUUAAUUCGAUGCAACGCGAAAAACCUUACCUGGUCUUGACAUCCAUAAAAAUUUUU